GAUACACUUUUGAUAAUAGUCGCGUUUCCGGCGUGUGUCUGCUCAGAUUGCAGUGCUUGAUUGGAAGAGGUCUUAAUAUAGAAAGGUGUAGGUGUUUUAUUCUUUAAAAUAGAAGUAACUGUUUAAGCCCUGAUUGAUGCGUGCAUGAGAACAGGGGAUAUAAAUGGACAUCAGAUAAACUACAGUGGAGUAUUACCUGAAACUCCGAAGUGGAAAGCAUAACGGCUGGAUAUGUGCUAAGAUAUUCUUUUAGAAAAAACAGAGCUCCUCUUGUCUACCACUCAUCUUAACAGAAUGCAGAAAUUAUGGAUCGCACUGAUUUUCUGGGCGUUUGCGUUAAUCAAGGCGAGAUCGAUUCCCAGCUAUACUUUUAUAUCGAAUGGGAGG